rnacentral:misc_RNA from 1 species
UGGAUGGCAGCGCCCGGAGC